rnacentral:rRNA from 1 species
CCUACGGGGUGCAGCAGUGGGGAAUAUUGCGCAAUGGGCGAAAGCCUGACGCAGCGACACCGCGUGAGGGAUGAAGGUCUUCGGAUCGUAAACCUCUGUCAGCAGGGAAGAACGGUCACUGUGCUAAUCAGCAGUGAAUUGACGGUACCUGCAAAGGAAGCACCGGCGAACUCCGGCCCAGCAGCCGGGGUAAUACGGAGGGUGCGAGCGUUAAUCGGAAUUCCGGGGCGUAAAGCGCUCGUAGGCGGUAUGUUAAGUGAAGGGUGAAAUCCCCGCGCUCAACGUUGGCACGGCCUUUGAAACUGGCAAACUGGAGUGUGUGAGAGGAUAGUGGAAUUCCAGGUGUAGGAGUGAAAUCCGUAGAUAUCUGGAGGAACAUCAGUGGCGAAGGCGACUAUCUGGCACAUAACUGACGCUGAGGAGCGAAAGCGUGGGUAGCAAACAGGAUUAGAUACCCGGGUAGUC